UACGUAGGGGGCAAGCGUUGUCCGGAUUUAUUGGGCGUAAAGAGCGUGUAGGCGGCCAGAUAGGUCCGUUGUGAAAACUCGAGGCUCAACCUCGAGACGCCGAUGGAAACCAUUUGGCUAGAGUCCGGAAGAGGAGAGUGGAAUUCCUGGUGUAGCGGUGAAAUGCGCAGAUAUCAGGAGGAACACCAAUAGCGAAGGCAGCUCGCUGGGACGGUAUUGACGCUGAGGCGCGAAAGCGUGGGGAGCAAACAGG
rnacentral:rRNA from 1 species